UACGAAGGGGGCAAGCGUUGUUCGGAAUUACUGGGCGUAAAGCGCGUGUAGGCGGCUCUUCAAGUCAGGCGUGAAAGCCCCGAGCUCAACUCGGGAACUGCGUUUGAUACUGUCGAGCUAGAGUGUGGAAGAGGCAAUCGGAAUUCCGUGUGUAGCGGUGAAAUGCGUAGAUAUACGGAGGAACACCAGAGGCGAAGGCGGAUUGCUGGGCCAACACUGACGCUGAGACGCGAAAGCUAGGGUAGCAAACGGG
rnacentral:rRNA from 1 species